GCAAGAUUCUAGUUUAGCCAUAGUACGCCUCUGAUUGGACGGUGAAUCUAUGACGUCGGACGAAUCCACAACAGGCGCAAUCGACGACGCUCGCGACGCGGCAGAGCGUGUAUCGCGGCGGCGUCCGCUAGUAUGUUUGCAAAUUGGUUUUGACACGAUCUGUAUGGCUUGCAAUGCGUGCUCGGGCGCUCCGUGCGCCGGUCUUCCCCUCGUCGUGAUUUCGGGUACUGCCAUUGCUAAUACCUAUCUAAGGGCGACGUCUUACCGCCGUGUGCAUCCUUCCCGCAAACGUUUACUGCCCGCGCCAAACAGUUAGGGUUCAGAAGGGUUGCAGUUGAGCUUUAGCGCGCGGAUCUCUCUACCUUUGUGGUUUGACGAUUCGACAUGGCCGUUCUAUAUUACAUUUCAUAUCGGUAUACAUACGCGCACUGUGCCGGACCGAGCCAGGCGGCCCCCCAACCAACCAAUCGUUCAGCUCGCUCGACGCGAUUUCAGGGGGAAGGCUUCGCGAAUACUACUAUCCGGUUAUUAGCGAAUGAUAAACAACAAGCGCUUACAGCCUGCCGUAACAUGUCCCGCAAGUAUGCCGAAUAAGCAAUACUUCGCAAUUUUUCGUCUUGCUUUACUAUUGCGAUGAUGGCCGAUUGUUUAGCAAACGUCAAACCAUUAUAAGACCCCCCUGCAUGUACAGGAAUGUCGUUUCAUGUAAGCCUUCGCAUCCUACGGCGUGUGCCUUAACAUUUUUUGUGCGCUUGAUAGGAGAAAAUGAUGUUCUCGGCGCAUUCGCAAGGCGGUAUAUAAAGCAGGGAUUCCAUAGUUUUUGGGCUACGCCGGUCAAUUUGUGUAGCCCCGAACAAUAAUGCGCGACAAUAUGGCCUCUGUGGGGAAAAACGUUCCGAGCGAUAAUAAGCUGUACACGAGGGAAAGGUUUGCGCUGCUUUUAUCGCUUAAUGCUUCCUUACGUUUAUAUAUAUUAUUCCGUCGUAAACUGUUUAAAGUACCGCAUGUCGAAAAUAACCAGCAAUACCUAAGCGUUAUGUACUAAAGAAAGAGGAUGUGAUAAAAGCUUCGAUCUGAUUUGUGCACCGUGUUCAGUCCUCGUUAUCUUAAAAUAACAACAUUGAGUCUUGGUUCAAAGUUAGUUUAGGACCAAGACUCAAGGGGUUCAAAGUUCACAAAUGCUCGGCCGCUUCGCGGCCCGCGGCCCGCCCCCUUCCCCUCCGGCGCAAAGCGCCUGGGCCGCGUUAUAGGCCUCAGGUCCUCGGCUUUCUUACCUCUCGUUCGCGCCUACAGCCGCCCGUAAUUGCGACUGCAACGGAAAUGAUCGCGGACUACCCGUAGCAUGCCCCCUUGGUCUAAAUAAGCAACCGGUACCAUCAGUAUAUAAAUAUACUUUAUUUACAGCGGAACACAGAUUUUUUGCCGCUUAACGUAAAUAGCUUUGUCCCGAUACUUCGUGCUCAGGCCAAAAUAACUGUCGGGAGUGCCUAGCCGCCCGAAUGGAAGCGUUCCUGUAGGCUGCAUAUCCAGCACAUGAUUUUUUCAUCUUAAUGAACGAUGGAUAUUGCUUUUCGUACAGUCGGAUGUGUUUUGAUCUGUUGUUUCGGCAUUUGCUCGACGUCAUUGUUAUCCCAUUGUCGGCGGCUGACAGGGCGAUACUUUCUGGAUUGGCAUCUACACUCUAGACGAGCUUGUCAUCGGGUCUGUCGUCAGCUCUGCCGGCACGUCCUGCUGUCAGCGAAAAAGAAAUCGUCACUACCAUACAUACGAACUGCCGGCGGGGCUGCAGCCACCGCCGCAUGCAGGCACAACGCGGCCUCAAAUACUGGACGGGCCUGUCGCCCUCUUUUACCUCUAAGAUCUCCACAUCCUCGCCCUCCACCGCGGCUUCCGAGUCGAUGCUGAAGAACGGAGCGGUGCCAAUGUAGUAACCCGCGUCGACGCCGAUGGGCCGUAGCUGAAUCGGCUCUGUUCCGGGCAUUCGGUAUACUCGGGCUGCGUCACUCAGGAACUGGCGGAAUUUUUGGCCAAAAGUUGUUAAUAAAUAAACAAAGUUAAUAGCUUGCUAUAUGCUGACAGGACCAGCCCCUAUAUGUGUAUUCGCACAUGUACUAUUGCAGGGCCCUGUCAGUGCGCAACGACUUGAUCGUUUUCUGGGAAUAAACGAAGUUAAUAGCUUUCUGUAAGCUGGCGCGGCGUAGUCGGGCUAUGGUAAUCGGCUCGUUAAGCCUGGUACUCACAUGCGGAAAAUGUUGACGGAAAUCGUCGACGAAAGCGACAACGGAAAUUGCCAUUCCGCUGUCUUCGUUUAAAGCGUGUAUUCACAAGCGCAAAAAGUUGGCCGACGGAACUUUACUGACCGCUCUCUAUCGACGGUAAGCCGAAAUAAGAUAUUUCGUAUUUCAGAAAUUGCAGGAAAGUAAUCAAAUUCUAAAAUUUUGAGAGUGAUUUGUAAUUGCAGAUAUAAUAAAAUUUCAAAAAUCAAACCAUUGUUGUUUUUUAUUAAACUUUAAAUGAAAUACAAAAAUUGAAACAUAC
rnacentral:lncRNA from 1 species